GCCAAAGUGGCGGAAUUGGUAGACGCGCGCGACUCAAAAUCGUGUACCUUCGGGUGUGUGGGUUCGACUCCCACCUUUGGUA
rnacentral:tRNA from 1 species